UACGUAGGGUCCGAGCGUUGUCCGGAAUUACUGGGCGUAAAGAGCUCGUAGGUGGUUUGUCGCGUUGUUCGUGAAAACUCACAGCUCAACUGUGGGCGUGCGGGCGAUACGGGCAGACUAGAGUACUGCAGGGGAGACUGGAAUUCCUGGUGUAGCGGUGGAAUGCGCAGAUAUCAGGAGGAACACCGGUGGCGAAAGCGCGUACUGGGUCAUAACUGACGCUGAGGAACGAAAAGCCAGGGUAGGCAAAAAAGG
rnacentral:rRNA from 1 species